UUUCCGUAGGUGAACCCGCGGAAGGAUCAUUCACAAUAAGUGUUGUAGGGCACUUUUUAAACAAUAAAUAUCCACCUUGUGUGCAACGUUAUGAGAUCCUCUAUCGGUAUCUUUUAGGUUACGAAAGGGGGAACAUCUACAACUUACCAAGAUCACCUGUAACUUAUUUGUCUGGAAAUUUGUUAUCACGAAUGAACUUAAUUCGAAAAUACAACUUUCAACAACGGAUCUCUUGGCUCUC
rnacentral:misc_RNA from 1 species